rnacentral:rRNA from 1 species
GACGAACGCUGGCGGCGUGCUUAACACAUGCAAGUCGAACGGAAAGGCCCUGCUUUUGUGGGGUGCUCUACUUGCGACCUGGUGAGUUACACUUGAGUAACCUGCCCUUGCCUUUGGGAUAUCCUCAUGCAACUUGGGCUCAUACCGGCUAGGAUCUCCUGCUUCUUGGUGGGGGUUGGUUAGUUUCGGCGGUUGGGGAUGUACUCGCGGCUUAUCAGCUUGUUGGUGUGGUAGUGUCUUACCAAGGCUUUGACGGGUAGCCGGCCUGAGAGGGGGACCGGCCACAUUAGGACUGAGAUACGGCACAGACUCGUAUGGGAGGCAGCGGAGGAGAAGAGUGCACAAUGGGCGGAAGCCAGAUGUAGAAAAGCCGCGUGCGGGAAGAGAGGAUUGGGGUAGGAAACCGAUGUCGCCUGAGACGAGACGUGAGUGACGGUAAUGGGUAAAGAAGCACCGGCUAACUACGUG